rnacentral:tRNA from 1 species
UAACGGGAUAGAGUAACUUGGUUAACUCAUUAGGCUCAUGACCUAAAACUACAGGUUCAAACCCUGUUCCCGUAAA